AUUCAAUUAUGACAGAACAAUUAUCAAAAUUAUGUUUAUUUUAUAUUGUAAUAGUUUGGUCACAAUAACGACACUGGACAAUGUUCAGAUUGGCCCAGUUCUGUGCAAUGUCCCUGAGUGAAGGCAUUGAAAACCUUUGCUCCUUUAGCUAAAAUAUCAGAUUAUUCCUUUAUCGGACUGAUCAGAAUUUUUAUAUUUAACUACCAGUGGUCUAGGAAGCCCCAGGUGUGUAGUGUGACAUUAAAAUAUAUUCAGCACACAAG